rnacentral:misc_RNA from 1 species
AAGAAGAAGAAGAAGAAAGAGGGGUGGGAGCAUUUGAUGUUACCUGAAUAAAUAAUAGUUUAACAAGGAUGUGAUGUUAGUAUAGCAACCAAAUUAUUAAAAUCGGCCAAAUAACAAAUUGAAGCUUAAAGAACAAAAAUGAAAGCUAAAAAUAAACAUUGAUUAACAACAUCUCUCCUUCACCCACCACAUCACUCCACAAAGGAAAAACAGGAUAAAAAUAUAGAAAAGAAAGAAGAUCAAUAGAAAGAAAAGUCAAUUCAUAAAGCUUCCAAGCAUGUAUAAAGUAGAAGGAUGUUCUACUCAAUUGAACUUUAAGUUGUUUUACUUACCCAUCUCGUUGCUAAGAUAUGACAAGAGGUUUAAACCUGAAAAAUAAGGCAAACUGGGGGAAGCAGAAAAGAAGAUGACAAAAGGUGCCACACACCUGAAGAAUUUGAUGACAAGGAAUAGCAAUGAUGGAAAUCACUAAGAU